UUUCGAUGGUAGUGUAUUGGACUACCAUGGCUCUCACGGGUAACAGGGAAUUAGGGUUCGAUUCUGGAGAAGGAGCCUGAGAAACGGCUACUACAUCUACGGAAGGCAGCAGGCGCGUAAAUUACCCAAUCCUGAAUCAGGGAGGUGGUGACAAGAUAUAACAACGAGACCUUAAAUCUCGAUUGUAGUGAGGGUUUUCUAAAUAGAACCUAUAGUACGAUUAGAGGGCAAGUCUGGUGCCAGCAGCCGCGGUAAUUCCAGCUCUAAUAGCGUAUAUUAAAGUUGCUGCAGUUAAAAAGCUCGUAGUUGGAUUUCAAGGUUUGUAUUCUCUACCGGGAAUACACCCUACUAGUCAUUGACUGUUACUGUGAGAAAAUUAGAGUGUUUCAAGCAGGCUUUUGCAAGAAUACAUUAGCAUGGAAUAACGAAUGUAUUUAGAAUCGUGGUUUAAUUCUAAAUUACGAUUAAUAGAGACAGUUGGGGGCAUCAGUAUUUAAUUGUCAGAGGUGAAAUUCUUGGAUUUGUUAAAGACUAACGUAUGCGAAAGCAUUUGCCAAGGAUGUCUUCAUUAAUCGAGGACGAAAGAUAGGGGAUCAAAGACAAUCAGAUACUGUCGUAGUCCUAUCUAUA
rnacentral:rRNA from 1 species